rnacentral:rRNA from 1 species
CGGAGGGUGCAAGCGUUAGUCGGAAUUACUGGGCGUAAAGGGUGCGUAGGCGGGGAUGUAAGUCAGAUGUGAAAUACCGUUGCUCAACAACGGCCGUGCAUCUGAAACUGCGUUUCUAGAGGGAUAGCGGAGAAAACGGAAUUCCAUGUGUAGCGGUGAAAUGCGUAGAUAUAUGGAAGAACACCUGUGGCGAAAGCGGUUUUCUAGCUCAACCCUGACGCUGAGGCACGAAAGCAAGGGGAGCAAACAGGAUUAGAUACCCUGGUAGUCCUUGCCUUAAACUAUGUAUACUUGGUGUUGUUAGGCUCAACCCUGACAGUACCGUAGCGAACGCGUUAAGUAUACCGCCUGGGGAGUACGCUCGCAAGGGUA